ACAAAAAGCGAACAUGACGAGAUCUAUCUUAUUAUUAGCGUUCGUAUGUUCGUUAUUCAUAACGUACACAGAGGCAUGUUGUAUUUGUGUAACGGAACCUUGUAACUGUAGACCUAAGUGUGGAUCAUUUCCAAUAGGCCAAAAGAAACAAUUUUUUAGCAGAAGUGGACCCCGAUCAUCAUCUUUGCUGAAUACUCUUAAUGCAAGAUGAAGUAUACACAGUCGAAAAAGGAUAUCAUAAGGCUGACAAUAUUACACAUGAUUUUUGUCAUUAUUAUACAUUGUUUUGAUAAGUUGAAUUGAAUUAUUUCUUUGUGAACAAAUAUUUAAAAAAAUAAACUUGAGAUUUGCUUACUAUUUA